GCCCGCCCGCCUUCCCCCUGUCUCUCCCUUUCUCCCUCCUUCAUCUGCCAGACUCGCAUCCCUGCCCGUCGGUGGCAGCGGAGCGGAGGCCGAGCAUGGCGCCGGCGGCUGCCAAGGCAAGCGGAGGGUUCAGCCUCGUCGCCUGGCUCUUGCUGCUGCUGCUGGUGGCUACCUGCUGGGCUGCGCGCCCCCAAGAGCGGGUGAGUCGCCGGAGACGGAGCAGCCCGCGGGAGGAGGCGGGCCUGCGCGAUCGCGCCGCGGGAGCUCCGGCGGUGACGGCCUCGCUGCUCAGCACUUCGUUCGUGCUCAAAGGCGACGCGGCGCACAACCAGGCGAUGGUGCACUGGACGGGCGAGAACAGCAGCGUGAUUCUGAUCCUUACCAAGUAUUACCACAGUGACAUGGGCAAAGUUUUGGAAAGUUCAUUGUGGAGGUCUUCAGAUUUUGGGACAUUAUAUACCAAGCUGAAUCUACAGCCUGGAAUUACAACGGUCAUUGAAAAUUUCUACAUCUGCCCCACUAACAAAAAAAAGAUAAUUCUUGUAAGUUCUUCCCAUAAUGACCGGGACCAGAAUCUUUUUAUUAGCAUAGAUGAAGGAGCUACUUUUCAAAAGCAAUCUAUUAAUUUCUUUGUGGAAACCCUGAUUUUUCACCCAAAGCAGGAGGAUAAGGUGCUUGCCUACACCAAGGAUGGACAGCUCUAUGCAUCUGUUGACUUGGGGAUAAAGUGGACUCUCCUUCAAGACCAUGUGUCAAAAGACCAUAUUUUUUGGGCUGUUGAUAAAGUUGAUGAAGACCCUAAUUUGGUUCAUAUGGAAAUCCAGGAUUCCAGUGGAGGUUUUCAUUACAUGGCCUGUCAAUUUCCAAACUGUUCUGAUAAAACACCGAGAGAUCCAUUUUGGGGCAAUAUUGACAGAAACUCCCUGACAGUGCAGGAUGACUACAUAUUCCUUCAGACAUCAUCAGCAAACCAAACAAAGUAUUAUGUAUCUUACCGUCGGAAUGAAUUUGUACAGAUGAAACUGCCGAAGUAUGCUUUACCCAAGGAUUUACAAAUUAUCAGCACGGAUGAGAGCCAAGUAUUUGUGGCUAUCCAGGAAUGGUAUCAGACGGACACAUACAACCUGUACCAGUCUGACCCACAGGGCAUCUCCUACUCGAUCAUCUUGGAGAAUGUCAGGAGUACCAAGCAGCCUGAGGAGAAUGUGCUAAUUGAUAUUCUGGAGGUUAGGGGUGUCAAAGGAGUCUUUUUGGCCAAUCAGAAAAUAGAUGGAAAAGUUACUACUCUUAUAACAUUCAACAAAGGCCGUGACUGGGACUAUCUUACACCUCCAGCUGCUGAUAUGAAUGGUAAACCAACCAACUGCAAACCACCCGAUUGCCACCUUCACCUCCAUCUCCGCUGGCCAGACAAUCCAUAUGUGUCAGGAAUGGUUCAUACCAAGGAUACAGCGCCAGGACUCAUAAUGGGGGCAGGAAAUUUGGGUUCCCACCUUGUUGAGUAUAAAGAAGAAAUGUAUAUAACAUCUGACUGUGGCAAAACCUGGAGGCAGGUAUUUGAAGAGGAGCAUCACAUCUUGUAUCUGGAUCAUGGUGGAGUGAUUGUGGCCAUCAAAGACACCUCUAUUCCACUGAAAAUACUCAAGUUCAGUGUAGACGAAGGACAAACAUGGAGCACUCAUAAUUUCACUAGUACCUCAGUUUUUGUGGAUGGGCUACUCAGCGAGCCUGGUGAUGAGACUUUAGUCAUGACGGUUUUUGGGCACAUCAGUUUCCGCUCUGACUGGGAGUUGGUGAAGGUAGAUUUCCGGCCAUCUUUCCCCCGAGAAUGUACCCCUGAAGACUAUGAAUCAUGGGAUCUGACAAAUCUGCAGGGUGAUCACUGCAUCAUGGGACAGCGAAGAAGUUUUCGGAAGAGAAAGAGUUUAUCAUGGUGCAUGAAAGGAAGAAGCUUUAUGUCAGCACUCACUUCCAAAGUUUGUGAAUGUAACCAUUCCGAUUUCUUAUGUGAUUAUGGGUUUGAGCGCUCAGCAGAGGUAAAAUCUGAGUCUAGCACGUGUUUCGCUGACUUUUGGUUUAAACCAGAAACUCCUCCUGAAGACUGUACCUUAGGACAGGCCUACAGAAGCAGCACAGGGUAUCGAAAAGUCAUAUCCAAUGUGUGUGAGGGUGGUGUGGAUUUGCAGCAAAAUGUAUCUCAGCGCCUCUGUCCACUGACUGCUCCCAAAGGACUGCAAAUAAGCAUCAAAGGGGAGAGCCUGGCUGUUAAGCCUGGAGAAAAUGUCAGCUUUGUUGUCAAACAAAAUCAGGGAGAUGUUUUAAACACCAAGUACCGCGUGGACCUUGGCGAUGGCGUUAAGGCAAUAUAUGUGAACCUUACAUUGACAGGUGAACCCAUCCAACACCGCUAUGAGAGUCCUGGGGUUUACCGUGUCUCAGUGACUGCUGAAAAUGCUGCUGGCCAAGACGAAGCAGUUGUGUUCGUUCAGGUUCAAUCUCCACUGCAGGCUUUACAUCUAGAAGUGCUUCCUGUCAUUGGAAGAAACCAAGAGGUGAACUUGACAGCCAUAAUCCUGCCAAGGAACCCUAACUUUACACUCUUCUACUGGUGGAUUGGAAACAGUCUUCAGCCACUCCUUUCACUGGACAAUGUUUUGGUAACUACUUUUGUAGAGAUAGGAGAAAUCAGAGUUACAGUUCAGGCUUCCUGUGGGAACUCCAUGCUCCAAGAUUCCAAGAUUAUCCAGGUUUUGGAUCAUUUUCAAGUACUUCCACUCAGGUUUUCUGAACAUCUGGACUUGUAUAACCCGAACGUACCUGACUGGCGGGAAGACAUUGGCCUUGUGGUAACCCAGCAGAUUGCAAAGGAAACAAACAUACCUGAAGAAAGUCUUGUGACUGUAGUGAAACCUGGACUGCCCACAACUGCAAAUUUGCAUGUGCUUCUAUCCAUGAACCACCCAAAAAGGAAGAGGACUGUAUCAAGUGAUAAAAGAAUAGCUGCUAUUAAACAAUCCUUGAAUGCCCAUAACAUCAGUUUCUUCAUGAGAGGAGGGCACUGCGUCUUUGUGACCUUAGAUAGCUCUGAUUCAGAUUCACAGAGUCUUGGAGGAGGAGGAGGUUAUUGGGUGAUAGUGAUCCUUUUUGUCAUCUCUCUGGUGGCUGUAGGAGCGAUCAUUCUUUACAAGUUUAAAAGGAAAUUACCAGGAAGAAAUGUUUAUGCCCAGAUGCAAAAUGAAAAAGAACAAGAGAUGACCAGCCCUGUAAACCACAGAGAGGACACUCAAAAUAUCAUCCAGGGGGAGGAGUUCAUUGAUGAUGACCUUGAUUGUCAAACACUAGGAAAUGCAAGAGCAUCCACAAAAUACGUUACGCCACUGUCAGUACAUUGACACAAAUUUUAGGAUCCAUGUGCAGGAUGAAGAAAGUAUGGAAAAUUGUUAUGAUGAUGGAGAUGACUAUAAAUCACAGCUGUUCACUGGAGUAGUUCUGUAUGUCAGUGAAUGAGGUUUUUUUAAAAAAAAAAUUUUAAAGAUUAACAUACAUUAUGGAAGCAUUUGUUUUAUAACUUUUCAGUAAUUAAUAACCAAUGUGGAAAGGUAUUUUCUUGAUUGUAUUUUGUUCAUUCUAAACAUACAAUUGUGUUGGAAUCUGAAUUCUGAUUUGCUGAUAUGCAGCAGACGCUCUAGAUUUCUUUGAACUAUUUAUGAUCCCAUCACAUAGAAAUGAGCUCAUUUUUAAAAGAAUAUAUGAAAAUGACAUUUGUUAGACUGAUGUUUAUUUGUUCUUAUAAAAAUGAUGUGCACUCACUGCAACUGAAUCUGUUGGCUCAAUGGAGUGGUAGGGAAGCAAUUCUUCUUUUAUGUGCUCAGUGCAGGGGGAGAGGCAGACCCAUGAGCCAGAGGAAGCUAUGGGAGAACUCUGAACUCUGAUUACAUUCCAGUCUAGAUCAGGGUGCUGGAUUUCCAUCCUGUUUAAUUGAGACUGCAACACUUUAAAGAAGUUAAUCCAGGUGGUUGUGGUGGGCACUGGGAUUUUGGUACAACUUCUGUUAGCCAAGGCCAAGCCAUUGUAUAAUUUACCCAAAAUGUGGUUUAAUUUAAAGAAAGGAAAGAAGCUGAGAUAGUCUUAGAUGACUAGUUGUCGCCUCCAAACAAUCUUCAAAGGCAGCCCCAAAUACAGUGCAUUCAAACUUCAAAGCCAGGGAUGCUGCAGAACCCCCAAAGGAAUUCCAUGAUCCUCAUCUGCAACUCUUUUUUGUUUCCCACAAAGUCUCUGGGAUCUGUCACAAGAGCAGGCACCUGCAAAUUCACCACAACCUUUUGCUUUAGGCAAUAGUUGGAGGCAAUUUAGGGAUGUGUUGAACCCCCCUGUUGACUCAUUUUGAUGACUCUGACAUUCCUUGGAUAUUUUGCCCAGACAAUAACUUCCAAAACUGACUGCAGUUUCAUUGUAGGUGAAAUUUGGUAACAAUACUCCUUGAGGCUUAACCACUAUAAAAUCAAGAUGGUCACAUCUAUGGGCAGGUUCACCUGAUCAAUGGGAAGGCAGGAGGGUUCCAUCCAAGAUUGGUACAAGGCAGAGCAGAUGAUCACCAUCCCUGCUGGAGCCCUUUGCUACUCCACACACACAAUCACUUCCCCAGACCAGGCAGCGGCCCUACUUGCUUGAUCCUCCAUGGGCCGAGAUGCCUCCCCAGUGGCCCCCACCUUGUCCUAAGUUGGGCAUGGCCCAUGAUGUCACCAUUCCCAAUCCCAUUGGCUGUGAAGGCACAGUGGGUGGGCGCAGCAGCUCUGAUGCCUUCAGGUCCUUCUGGAAGACUUAGGAACUGUUUGAGCUUCCCAAAGAGGUGGGGGAGGUGUCCAAAUUGCUUCCCUGCCACCUGCUGUUCAGCUGGGUCACAACCCGGGUGGCCUGGGAAUCACCUGAUCAUGGAGAAGGGUAGGCAGCAAAGCAGAAAGGAACUGCACAGACAGGUGAGCUGUGCAAUGAGCAAGGCCUGUCUGAACUCUAGGGUUGGAUUAGGCAGAUCCGGGGACCCUGUGGCAACCUGGACAGCACCUUGCCUUGUUUCUGGCAUUCUGCCAAGUAGGCAGGAUGGGCAAGGAUGCUGCCCAGCAAUGGAGGGCAUGGAGGGACACCACCCCAGCUGCCGUCCACUGUGACCAGAGGCAAAGGGAGGGCAUCUCCAUGGGCACAUCACUCUCGGACUGGCUUAGCAAAGAGUAUGUCCCCGUCCAUCAAUUUUCCACUCCCCAUCAACAUCUCCUCCCUGGGCUAGCACAGAUUAAUUGUCCUCCGCCUGAUUUGUACUGCCCCAGUGCCUUACAUGAGGAGUGCAGUUUUUGGAAAGAGGCUUUGGCUCUGGAGAUCCAUGAUCCCUGGAAACUCCCUCUGACCAAGGGCAUCAGUGUUCUCUCUAAUUUUUUCCCCCCAUUUGUGUGCAGAAUGAGUUUUGGUCUGAGUUUUUGGUCAAGGCAGUGUGCGUGCACCUGCAUUCAGAGUGGGACUUCUUGAUUAAACCUGAGCUGUCUCUACAAUUAACUGAGUGGACAUCAAAAAAUCUGUGAGAGCACGCACGUCUUAGAGGGAACACUGAAGGGCAUCCUUGCAUGAAGGGAGACCAAGAGCCCACUGCCCAACACAUCUCAGCCCUGUCCCUCCCCAAUCACACAAUCGCACACAUGUCCCCCAUAUACCCCCCUGCCCCCCCAAGUGGACAAGCAGCAUCCCACACCACUGGUCCCACAGGCAGUAAAGCUGGCUCUUGUCACAUCCCCACCCACCCCACCCCCCGCCAGUAUCUGUUGGUGGACUGUGAGGUUUCUGGGCAUGGCAUGCUGUGUUGUAGCCUGAAGGGGCAGGAGUGUGGGCAGUGAGACAGGUGUAGUUGGGUGUUGCAGAUGAGUGUGAGAUGGUGUGUUGUCAGUCAUAGUGUAGCCAGAGGUGCUGGGGCUUGGAAGCCAUGAGGAGAGUCAGGAUGCUAGAGCACCUGUGUGUGGCAUCUGCUCUACCUGAGGAUGUCUAUGGUGGAUGCACAGUUGAGGGCACGUCACGUGCAGGUAACCAGGAUAGGUGAGAGUGUGGGUUCACAUGAUCAGUGGAUCUUAGUUUGAAGUGCUCUGAGCUCUGCUACCCUGCUUAAGAUCCUAAAUGACCAAUGCUGAUUUUCACCCCAGGAUGGAACUGAGGUUACUGGUGUGGUGUGGGUUCAUAUGAUCAUGCCAAUAUGAGUAGCCAGCAUCCAACCACAAUUCCUGAGAUCAUGUGAAACCACCCUAUAUGAACUGUUGCUAGCAUACUUGAAAACCUGAGUAAAAAUUCCCCUGAGACCAAUAUAUAAUCUGCCAAUUAUAAGCAUCAUAAGUGGUUCAGAAGACCUUCAAGGUUGUGAUACUCAGUUAGGUCAGAAAGAAUAAGAGCUCUUUAAUCUUACAUGAGACACCAGGACACAUGGAGUGUGUUACAGGAUCUUGUUUUAACUGCUAACAAAUACUGAAAUCGCCUUCUGUGCCCUUGGGAUUUGCAUGGUAUCAGUUUGUCACUGGAUUGGAUAAAUGAGCUGAAAAUUUGGUGGCAGUCAACUGAAGUGAUGGGAGGAGAAGUAGAGCUUAGGAGGGAACCCCAUCAAGCCAUUUGCAUCUGUGCUACUACCCACAGUCUUUGGUUAUCUAGAGGUUCGAGGCAGUGAUACUCCGGACUGAUCAAGCCAUCAUAUUGUUCUGAAUGGGGCUACUGACCUUCAUUGUAUCAUUGGCUGGAUGAAGCAUCUGGGCUGCUAACUUGUCCAGAUCAUCUCUGUUGAAGCUGUGGUGUGAUGGACUUUGGGGGAGCCUGUUUCAUUUUAGAUUAGGUGAGCAAGCCCCUGUUUCUGAUUCCAUCUGUGCACCAGAUAAAGACACAAGAGAGACAUCUCAGUAGUUGUUUCACUUUUCUGACAUUCUUUCUGACCUGGAGACUUGCAAAAAACAAAAAACAACAAAAAAAAAAACCCUGCCCUGAGCACAUUUAAGAAACUGGGAGCAGGCCAGCAAAAGUUAAGUGUGACUGGGCAUAGGGCUGAAGUAUCUUACUGUGCACUUUCAUUCCAUUGAGUUCAGUGGGACGUAGGCACACCCAGUUUUCUCUGGAUUGCAUCCACUGUAUAUGUACACUUCAGACUUUUGGCAAGCAUUAGGACCGAGAUGGGUGGAUAUUUGUGUGCUGUGUUUUAUUUUGUUAGUUCCCCACCCUGAGCCUUUGGAAUUCCAAUCACAACUGUGUGACAGAAUUAAAGAUUUCAGGCUCCAAGAAUGGUUUGUACAAAAGGAUUAAGGAUGAGAAUGGCCUGGCACCAGUCAAUGUUUUCCUGUUCCAGCUGGUGUUCCAAAAAGAUGACUCUACCUGCAUGGUGGGCACUUGCUACAUGGCUUUCUCUUGACUCGAGUGGGAAGAGCCUUCUUACAUGAUGUUUGUCAUAAUGUUAGCUCACAAAUAAUAGAGGCUCUGCCAAUGGCCUGGGGACUUCAUAGAAGCCAUUUUUGCUAAUGAGUCACCAAGAAGAGCCACAAAUUGAUGUAAAGAAGAAAGCAAUGCCUGAGAGAUCAUCUUUAACUGGGCUUUUCAACUUCCAUGUUGGUCCUUGCAAGGCCUUUAUCACUUCGAGUUGCUUGAUAUUUAUAGCCCAUCUUCUCCUGAAGGCUCAGGAUGAGUAACAACUUAAGCGGGGGGGGGGGGGGGGAACAGUCCGUUAAAACACCCCUGCAGUGCAGCCCAAGGAUGCUCCAGCUUGGAGUCUCGUAAGCCUGCAGGGAUGGGAAUGCCACAACUGGAGCGAGGAGCAGCCUGGCUGCACUGAUUGAAUGCUGAGUUUAAGAGGGCACUCGGAUCACAAUGGGAAGAGAUAGUUUCCAAGAUGCAUUGGGACUAAGCUGCUUGUAAAUUAAAGCAAGCAUCAAGGAACAGGAAAUGAUAUGGAGGCAGCUGGAGCAAGCUGUAAAUGUGCUCCUAGUGAACUGUCUCCUUGGGAUACAGACCACUGCAUUCUGCAUCAGCUGAUGCUUCUGCGCAUGCCCACAAAGCAGACACAUGUGCCAUGCUCUGACCAAAAGCUAUAGGGGGAGAAAUCCAAGACCCUCUCCUGCAGGGCAUCAGUAUCUUCAGUAGAUGGUCUCCUGUGUUCUCCUCUGUGCAUUCACACCUAUGAAUUUUGCACCUGUACAGAGCCUUGAUCACAGACUUCUAGAGCUUUAAGUGUAAAGCUGUUAGGUGCACAACAUGCCCCCUCCAGGCAGCUGUGCCUGCCUAAGUAGAUGUGGUCGGCACCUCACUCUUCAGUUCCUCUUCAUCUGCUGCCGCAGGACCUUCCAUUGGAGCGUUGGUGUGUUGGUUCUUUGCCUUGAGAAAGUCUGGCCUUCCGAUUCUUUGUUUCUCCCCAGCCCCCAUGGGCCAGUAGCUACCACCUCGUCAUGUAUGCAGUCUUGUGGCCAGCAAGACUUUUAAGAACUGGAGGACUGAAGUGGAAAAGGAAGUCGGAGUCUGGCACCAUAGAAUUUAGAAUCUGCACACAUCUUUUUUUGACUCCCUCUAACUAGCAUGUGAGGCACAUCCAUGCCAGUGUGCCUUUUUUCCUUUGUGCACAAAGGGGGAGGGAUAAGAUUUUGAGCAAACUUUGGCCAACCAUGCACUCCUUUGAGGUAGCAGUUUCAGCAGGAUGCUGUUCUUGUGGAACUAUUUCUGAAGUAGGCAUGUGCACAGACCAAGGUUCAUGCAUGGGUCCAAAUUCGGCCCAGUUCGGCCCAACCACGAACCAGUUCGGCAGUUCGAGGGCAGUGGGGAUGGGAGGGAGGGGAGUCACACAUGAAUUCAGACUGUAUUCACACAUGAAUUCAGACCUCUGUUUGUGCACAUGCCUAUUCUGAAAGCCCCACUGGUUGUGGAUGUUCAUGUUUGAAUGGGGAACAUUAACUUGGCCAAGGCUGUGUAUGUUUAUGGCCGAUAUUAGACUUUAAGUCAGGCUUCCUCAAGGCUUCACUCAAUCCAGGGAACCACACUGGUAUUCUGCACACUCACAUUCUUUUGGCAAGGAAGCAGACCUUUCCACGGGCACAGUUGUCUAGUGCCAAAGGUUUGAUUAAAAUCCCUUCACACUGCAUGUAGCCUUCACUGGCACAAUGUUCCAUAUGCCUUGUGUGCAGUGGUAUGUGUACUUUCACAAAUGCAGGAAAUUGUGCAAUGCACUUGCACAACUGACAGUGGCCAACAUAUUUCACAAUGUUGAGACUGUUUCCUAUCUAAUGAGUGUUUCAGCCCCACCUCUGCAACUUGUCCUUGCCACACGGUUUUGCAAAGAACACAUGCUAGGUCCAGAUGCAGUUGUCCAAUCCUACCUGACGGGGCCAGGAUCUGCAAAUGAGACAGUCAACAAAACACAGCUCCAGUGUUAAAUUCACAGAAACAGUCUCCUGUCUCCUCUGCUUCCCUGGCCUCUCUCUCCAGGCUCAGGGACCAGGUCUUCCUGCUUCUUUUAUUGUUUAUCCCUACAUUCACCAGACCUGGGAUGAGAGAGCAGUCACUUCCAGUUAAGAAGCAGACCGUUUUGAUCGAGAUAAAGUUCUGUGGUUCCCUUAGUUUGUCAAGGCGCACAGCAAUAAUGAUGGCCAAAUCCUGCUAUGAGAAUUCCCCCAACAGAAUAUGGCUGUGAUGAUGUGCAGGCAUGCACCCGCAUACACACACCUCCCUUGGGAAUGGCAGAACUGAAUGCCUGCACCCCUCAUGAAAUCUCAGACCUCAUUUAAAGUCUUCAGACAGCUUCUUGUUUCAACACUAAAAACUUGUCUUGAUUUCCUGGAGUUCUGCAUUCUGUACUAUGGAUGGUGCGGUUGUCUAUGCCUUUUCUCUGCCAUAAGCGUGACGCUUUUAAGAACCAAAGCACGCGUGACCUGGCAUUUGUGUUUUCACAUACACCUUGGUGCUUGCUGAAGUGAAUACCAUAAAUAGGGACAGGGAAGCACAAGUCUGUAAGCCUGCAGUGGAUAGCACGAGAGACCCAUGACCAUCACAGUGCCUGCGAGCAGGUCUAUUGCAUGUCUCUGAGUGUUUGGAGACCCUUGUCCUCAUGUUGCAAUUUACCUCCUCCUUACAGCACACUGCUGUACCUGCAGCAACCAUGUCUGCAACACUGAGUGUGAACCAGACCUUUGUCUAGCAUCACAGGAUGCUAGAGCUUCUGUAUAUUGCAGUACAGUAUCACUGUACAGUUUUAAGGUUUUUCAGCUCCCGCAUGCAAAAUUGAGCCAGUGGAAAUGGUUGUUUAUGUAGGCCAUGGAAGUAUAAAUCACCUUCCAAACGUCUAGGAACACAAGAAAUAAUUUCUAAACACUGAUUUGUACUCAAAUAUUGAAAACAUGCUCAACUUACCUGUAUGCUUUUAGUAGCCCUCACAAGUUUUCCAUCUUUUGCCUCACCUAGCUUUAAAGUUAGCUAUACCUGACACACUUUCCUAUUCCUAUUUUAGAUAACUUUAUCCAAGUCUCUUUGUAUACAAGGGGAAACGAAAUUGAUUCCUUCUUGUCAACAUGAGUUGGUUGGAGGGUGGGUAAGGUGGAGAAGUAUGUAUAUUUUUGUAUAUAUGUAACAGAUGAAAUCGAAAUUUUGUAGUGAUGUGUUCUGGUUUGGGGGGAAAGCAGCAAAUAAGUUUGGCAAAGCUUUGUGUUAACACUUAACUAUGGUUCAAUUGCACAGUCAAUAGUUCAGUCUAGGAAGUCAAGACUUUUUGAAUUAAAACUUAGCACAGGUUUGGUAAUAAAGUAUUUAUAAGCUGCACAAUGCAGCCUAAUGCUCUUCUGCUUCAAAAUGUGUAACAGGUCAACUACUGUAUCCAAAGCAAUGCAUUUGUUCUGAGAAAAUGUACCACAAAAUUUCUUUCAUUAAAAAUGUUUUGACACUCUA